rnacentral:rRNA from 1 species
UGGGGAAUAUUGCACAAUGGGCGCAAGCCUGAUGCAGCGACGCCGCGUGGGGGAUGACGGCCUUCGGGUUGUAAACUCCUUUCGCUAGGGACGAAGCUUUUUGUGACGGUACCUAGAUAAGAAGCACCGGCUAACUACGUGCCAGCAGCCGCGGUAAUACGUAGGGUGCGAGCGUUGUCCGGAAUUACUGGGCGUAAAGGGCUCGUAGGUGGUUUGUCGCGUCGUCUGUGAAAUUCCCGGGCUUAACUCCGGGCGUGCAGGCGAUACGGGCAUAACUUGAGUACUGUAGGGGUAACUGGAAUUCCUGGUGUAGCGGUGAAAUGCGCAGAUAUCAGGAGGAACACCGAUGGCGAAGGCAGGUUACUGGGCAGUUACUGACGCUGAGGAGCGAAAGCAUGGGUAGCGAACAGG